AUGUGGGGCUUUGCACACGCAUGCGGCUCUGCACGUGUGAGGUUUUGCACACGCGGUGCCUUGCACACGUGUGUGUGCUGGGUCAGGGAGGGGCGCUGGGGGUUCUGUGAGCAGCUCUUGUGCAAGGGAUGGGCGUGGUGCCCCUCCCAGUCCCUCCCAGUUCCUUCCCAGUCCAUCCCAGUUUCCUCCCAGUCCCUCCCAGUUCCUCCCAGUUCCCUCCCAAUCCAUCCCAGUUCCCUCCCAUUUCAUCCCAGUCCCUCCCAGUCCAUCCCAGUUCCAGUUCCCUCCCAGUUCCCUUCCAGUCCCUCCCUGUCCAUCCCAGUCCCCUCCCAUUUCAUCCCAGUCCCUCCCAGUUGCCUCCCAGUCCACCCCAGCUCCCUCCCAGUCCCUCCCAGUUCUCUUCCAGUCCAUCCCCGUCCCUCCCAGUUCCUCCCAGUGCAAUCCCAGUCCCAUCCCAGUGCCAUCCCAGUCCCUCCCAGUUCCCUCCCAAUCCAUCCCAGUUCCCUCCCAGUCCUUCCCAGUUGCCUCCCAGUUCCUUCCAGUCCCUCCCAGUUCUCUCCCAGUUCUUCCCAGUCCCUCCCAGUCCACCCCAGUUCCCUCCCAUUUCAUCCCAAUUCCUCCCAGUCCCUCCCAGUUCUCUCCAGUCCCUCCCAGUGCCAUCCCAGUCCCUCCCAGUUGCCUCCCAGUCCACCCCAGCUCCCUCCCAGUUCUCUUCCAGUCCCUCCCAGUUCUUCCCAGUCUAUCGCUGUCCCUCCCAGUCCCUCCCAGUCCCUC
rnacentral:lncRNA from 1 species